CUUUAUUAAGCUCUAAAAGUGGUUACUAACGCGUCGAAAUAUUUUUUUAUUUCUAUGUUUUGUUAAUUCAAGCGAUAAAUAAGUUUAUUUGUCUAUAGAAAAAAUAAUCGGAGGUAACUUGCGUCCAGCCACAGUACUUCUGUCCUGCCUGGGUGUUCUGUCAUGGCAGGGUGUUGUUCUCCGGGGCUGCAGUUGGAUACUAUUGGAUUUCUGUGGCAAGGAAGGCGAAAUCAUAGGAGUUGAACUUCGGUUGAGAUCUUUGAACAGAAAACUAUUAAAAAAAAAAUUCAUAGAUAAAACGAGUAUAGCAACGUUAGACUUACCUGCAAAUAAAAAUAUAUGCUGCAACUCAAUACUUGCGUUUAAAGUUGCUCGUCGGACUGUAAACAAUUACACGCCGACGGAUGAGGAAUUCUAGCCCCUGAUAUCCGGCACUACCGGUGCCCCGGAUAUAUCGUCCCCAUAGAAAGACAUGCCUGUCCUCAGAAAAUGGUGGUGCACAGUACUGCUUGAGAACUUCCAUCUGGAUGGGCACAGCAGAAGGUUCCCACACUUCAUGAGAAGCCAAACAAAUGGCGGCUGAACUACUUCCACCAGUCUUCAGACUGAAGCGAAAAAGAGAAUGAGUUGAAGCUGAUGGCAGUCAGCAUGAAGAAGCUAUAACUUUAGGCUUCUGUAGAUUAUUUGUUAAAUAAAUUGUGAGGAAACUUUGGUGUGGUUAUUCGUCAAUGUAUAUUUAUAUCAAAUUAUGAUGGUAUACUUUACAAAAAAUAAAUUUGAUUCAAUUAGACAUAUUACAACAAUUACUUAAUUCUAAUUACCUAAUUCUAAUGGUCAAUUACUUAAUGAGUAAAGUGUAUAAUACACAAUUCCAUUCAAUAAUUGUCUACACACUAAAUGAGUUUAUUCGUCUAAA
ensembl:lncRNA